rnacentral:rRNA from 1 species
AUUGAACGCUGGCGGCAGGCUUAACACAUGCAAGUCGAGCGGAGAGAGGUAGCUUGCUACUGAUCUUAGCGGCGGACGGGUGAGUAAUGCUUAGGAAUCUGCCUAUUAGUUGGGGACAACCUUUCGAAAGGAAUGCUAAUACCGCAUACGUCCUACGGGAGAAAGCAGGGGAUCUUCGGACCUUGCGCUAAUAGAUGAGCCUAAGUCGGAUUAGCUAGUUGGUGGGGUCAAGGCCUACCAAGGCGACGAUCUGUAGCGGGUCUGAGAGGAUGAUCCGCCACACUGGGACUGAGACACGGCCCAGACUCCUACGGGAGGCAGCAGUGGGGAAUAUUGGACAAUGGGCGGAAGCCUGAUCCAGCCAUGCCGCGUGUGUGAAGAAGGCCUUAUGGUUGUAAAGCACUUUAAGCGAGGAGGAGGCUACUUUAGUUAAUACCUAGAGAUAGUGGACGUUACUCGCAGAAUAAGCACCGGCUAACUCUGUGCCAGCCGCCGCCGUAA